GAUGAAGAACGUAGCGAAAUGCGAUAAGUAAUGUGAAUUGCAGAAUUCAGUGAAUCAUCGAAUCUUUGAACGCACAUUGCGCCCACCAGUAUUCUGGCGGGCAUGCCUGUUCGAGCGUCAUUUCAACCCUCAGGCCCCGCCUGGCGUUGGGGAUCGGCGCGGCCCUCUCCGGGCUGCCGGCCCCGAAAACUAGUGGCGGUCUCGCUGUAGUCCUCCUCUGCGCAGUAGCAACGCUCGCACUGGAACUCGGCGCGGCCACGCCGUAAAACACCCCACUUCUGAAAGUUGACCUCGGAUCAGGUAGGAAUACCCGCUGAACUUAAGCAUAUCAAUAAGCGGAGGA
rnacentral:misc_RNA from 1 species